rnacentral:misc_RNA from 1 species
AAAUAAAAGAAGUUAAAUAAGAAAAAAGAAAUCAGUGCAUCCAACAUUUAUAUUUGUGCAUUUUAUCAAUCAUCCCAUCAUACAUGAACUGGAGAGAGAGAGAGAGAAAAUGCGGCCAACUCCUUUAGACGCUGACGACACCAUCCGCUUCCAACCACCGCCAUCGCCUCCGUGUCACGACCUCCGCGCCUGUACUUGGCGGCCGUACUCCAAUUCCAGAGACUUCGAAGCCAACGCCGCCGUCGUCGUCAUCAUCCUCCUCUGUGGGCUCAUCUGCGCUCUCGCUCUCAACACCGCCAUCCGCUGCUUCCUCCGCCGUCGCGGCAGUGCCGAUGACGAUCCGAGUGA